CCUACGGGAGGCAGCAGUAGGGAAUUUUGCGCAAUGGAGGCAAGUCUGACGCAGCAACGCCGCGUGAUCGAUGAAGGCCUUCGGGGUGUAAAAAUCUGUCUGUGGGGACGAAAACUGACGGUACCCACAGUGGAAGCACCGACUAACUCCGUGCCAGCAGCCGCGGUAAGACGGGGGGGGCAAGCGUUGUCCGGAAUGAUUGGGCGUAAAGGGUUCGUAGGUGGUCCGUUAAGUCGGGUGUGAAAGGCGGAAGCUCAACUUCCGUAGGGCAUUUGAUACUGGCGAGCUUGAGUGUUGUAGUGGUAGAGGGAAUGUAUGGUGUAGCGGUGAAAUGCGUAGAUAUCAGGAAGAACACCGGUGGCGAAGGCGGUUUACUGGGCUG
rnacentral:rRNA from 1 species